CCUUAGUGGUUAGUGACCUGUGUGAGGCAGCAACAAGCCUGCCACUAUCUCUGUAAGAAACUUGAAAAGAAAUUUUCAACAGGUGACCUGCUGGUGAAUUUAUGAUGGUAAUAUCCUUCUUGUUUAAUGCAUAAGAAGAUGAAUUGGAUAAACUUCAAAGUAAUGACACAAAGAUGUUCAUCUGAGGGUCAAAUAAUGAAAACCAGGCAAAGGAUGAUUUCAUUGCUUUGAGUAGACACUGAUGAAGACACUGAUGUGAAACAUUUUCAGCGCAAACAUUUGAAUGUGAGCCAAAUGCCUGUGCCAGGUGCUGCUGGAGUCAUGGGCUUGCAGCAGUGGACAGAACUCCACCUCAGCUCACCCUGAGCCUGCCCCUUGCAGGGAAGAGAGGGGAUCCAACUUGUGACCUUGUGCUUGCGAGGCAGGCAGCAGAACCACUGAGAGAUUUUCAUUGUGAGGCUUUAUUGAGUAAUGAACUACUAUUCUGAAGACCAACCACUGGCUCUCCAAUUAUUGUAGGACGUGAGUCCUUGGGGAAUCAUUUUGCUGUUUGUUAUGUGAAUGAUGCAUAUCACAUGCAUGAAUACCUGUGUGUCCUUUUUCCUAAUAUAUAUGGAUAGCUAAGGAAGGUGGGUAUUUUUCAGUAUCUAACAGGGAAUGUUAGGCACUGAAAUAAACAGUGGUUAUGCAGUGUAUUUCUUAUUUUUUAGUAUAAUCAUUUUAUGUUUUGUUUCUUUUUCUUCC
rnacentral:lncRNA from 1 species